rnacentral:misc_RNA from 1 species
CUUGCCGACGCUGGUGGAGG